rnacentral:siRNA from 1 species
UUGUCCAGACCAAAUUAUUAGC